rnacentral:lncRNA from 1 species
AGCCUGCAGCCACAGGCGCCCGACCUAGGCGGCCACAGAACAGGCCAUGGGAGAAGCCAGGAGCCAACUGGGGAAUGAGCAGAAGGAAGCGGGAAGGGUGCCUUCGCCAGCCACCUCGGCACCCGCAAGGGCUGGGUGCCCGCUGGAAGCCAGCAGACGGCCCCGGGCCGGAGCAACGGCGCGCGUCCUCCGUGAGGGACGGGCCGCAGCUCCACAAGCUCUCGAUGCGAUCGGCCGCUUCCGCCUUCCGGCUCCGCCCCCGGCCGCCUUCCCACCGCUCUGGCUGCCCGGAGGAAGAAGCCGACAGCCGCCUCGCGUGUUAACCCUCGACGCUUAACGGAAAGUCACCUCAGAAACGACCCUCCCAGUACCCGUCGGUCCCCGGGAGGCUGGUCCCGAUGUUCCAGAGGUUCCUGUGCGGGUCUGUAGCAUUUAGCGUGGUGUUUACUUCAUGUCCUUGUCUCCUUUGGGUGGACGAGACUAGUGCAGGGCACGAGCCUUCGCUCCGAGUUCUCCGUUCUUGUUGGAUGGACAAAUGGUGAAUUUGCGCGGCCUGGAACGCGGACAGGCUGCCUGUGGCCCAGUGGUUCCUCCUUCGGCUCUCGGCAGCUCUGGGACAAAGGCUUUCUGCUGCCCACACAACACUAAGGGGAUGCACAGGGCUCGGACUGCACUGGGACUUCCCCCAAAUCGGAGAAAAUGGCUGUUUAUAGUGAUUUAAAGAGAGAUCCAGAGAAAGGGCAACUGCACUCUAAUGUAAAUAUAAAUAUGUACACCCACAGGGUUUCUAAGCUGUUCUUGUCUCUAUACAUUUGUGUGCACCUUAGUGGUUUGUUUCCAGGGGCCACUGUCUUGAACUUAUUAAAAACUAAGUCCUUUCUUGCCCUAGGCACUAAGCAUUUAGUUGAUGUAAGGCUAAAAAUGGGUAAUAGUUACCACUUAGGCAGUCUCCAGCUUAUAUAAGCCAUUAAAACAGCGUCAAAUGAAAGUUAUCCAUACUGUGAAACGACUAAAAUGUUAACACCCAUAGGAAUUAUUUUUAAAAAUUGCCUCACCCAUUGGCAGUGAUCCCCACCGUAUACCCCUUAACUGUUCAGGGUUAAAUAAAAAGCUGUUAAGCCUUAACAGCCCCUUCAGUGCUGCUGAACAGUGGAACUCAAGGCAACAACCAACUAAUUUUGGUAAAUGACCUCAAAAAAUUACUUUUAAGACCUAAAUUUAACACUAAUAACAAAAGCAUUUGGCUUCAUUGCCAAACACACGAGAGGUUUUCUGGGCUGUGGCUGUACUUUGAGGAAUAGAAUUGGUGGUACAGCUGCAAAUUAUUUUUCAGGAACCCUGGUAAAAAUUUUCAUUGUUUUAUUAGGAUGCUGCUGUGUAAGGCCGAACUUUGAACCCCCCAAAAAACAUUCAGGCCCCAGCUCCCAGUAAUGAACUGUCAUUUUAGGAAAUUGACUUAACAAGUCUGUUUUCUCACCAGUGUUGUGGAGAUAAUUAACCCCCUCCUAUCUAUGAGAACUGAUGAAAUACUGAGACCCUUCUAAGACCUAAAUGCUGUCAGGACAGGCACUUCAACUACAGAGUUCACACAAAACUUAAUGAGGAAAGGGAUUCUCUUAUCUCCCAUACUCCAUCCACAUCUGAAAAGUAAACAUCUUCAUUAUUAUGCCAUGCAUCAUCACAAGCCUACGGCUGCUCUAAGUGCAGGUAACCAAUUUUAAGCAGCAAUAAGGACAACUAUCACAAAUAAAAGCUUCAUUUUUCUUCAAAACUAGUUGUACCUCAGUCUGGGUAUCUCUGACCUUCUCUUUGGCAAAGAAAAGUCCAUGAUUUUCUUUUAAAGCUUAAAACUAAAAUGGCAAAAAGAAGGUGAGUAGACGGAUGCAUGUGUGUGUAGGGGAGAAGACUAGUACUCUACAAACAGGGUGCCAGGAAUGACAACUCCCAUGUGCUAUUCAUUUUGAAACAUCAGUAAAGGACAAAUCAGACUUUGUUUAUUAAAAAAAUACUUUACAGGAAAAAAAAAAACCUAUGCAUUCCAUUGUCCUACUUUACAAAGAAAUAGCUUAACAAUUUAACACACUCAGACAGCUACAAAAAAGCACUGUGUUAAAAGAAUUAUUAUUCACACAAAUUUGAGAUUUAAGACUAUCCAUUAAAAACCUUUUAAAACACUUGUUAAUGUCAAUAAACAAAGGCCACACAAACGCAAAUAGUCCGCCAGGCAAAUUAAACAUUUCAUCUAUAUGCAAAGACCUCUUAGAUAAAUUAAAGCCACAGGAAAAAAGUCUUAGCUGCCAAUCAAAAUGAAGUUUAGUCACAGAAAACACUAUUACAUGAAAAUUUACAACGUGUGAUAGUAUUACAUAAGUAUUUCUUUAGAGAGAAUUGAAAAGUGCUAUAUUUUAAGAGACGGUGGUCUCAACUACAUGCACAAGUGGAUCCUAAAAAAUGUAUGGAGAUUUUUUAAAUGGAAGGCCAUAAUGUUUAUGGAUACUUGCUUUUAAAGCAACAGACUUCCAGGACGAGGAUAAGUCCUUUAUGCACUUAAGAAAAACACUGGUGAUGUGUAUCUCCUCUACUUGCAUGACCAGUAAAUACGGCUACAGACUGUCUUGAAACAUGAAACUUAGCACAAAUGUGAGCCUCUGGCAUGUGCUACUGAAAGGAUGAAACAGAUUUAUUAGAAAAACACAAACUCAGUAAUCCUAAUUAUCUUUAAUAGAUGCAAAUAAAUUUAAAAGGCAAAUACAGAUGAAAAUAUAAUGGGCUAAUAUUAAUGAUAAAGGAUAUAUUCACUAGGAACAUAUUUUCGUGGAUUUUGGAGUCUUGUUCCUAUAUUAACUUUCCUUCUAGACAAUAUUUAUACAGGGGAAAAAAAGCACUAAGCAAAAGUUUCUCAAGUCAUUAGGUGAGAUCUUUAUGCCUGUUAAGACUGAUACAUCAUUUCCUAAAGUUUAGCAAAUUACUUAAAAUAAGCUCUUUUCCCCAUACAAGAGCUUGUAGUAUUUGUGAACUAAUAGUCCGACUGUUUCUGAGGGUGCAGGGCACUUUCCAAAAGUCUUAGAGUAAAAAUCAUGUACCAGUAAAACUGUAAGUACUGAAUAAGCAAAGUACAAUUAAGACUAAGAAUUCAUUUCUCAAGAGUUAAACUUUGGAAGAGGGAACCAAUAUAAAGGUUAUUAUUAUUGCUUUAUGAAUUUGGGACAUCUCUCAGAAUCGUAACCCUAACUCUUAUCCUAUCUUGAUAAUUAUAGAAUGACCUCUGGGACGGGGGAAGACUUAUUCUUUUUAAUGGUUACCAUAAAAUCAUUCUAUUUGCUGUUAGGAAUAUUUAAUUUACUAGGUCCUUUCGAUUAGCAUAUUUUAAAAAUAUCCCUCUGAUCCAUAAACUACUAAAACUUAUAGCCACAUUCUGCAAGUAAUCUCAAGGGCUGGCACAAGAGAUAACAUACCAGAAAGGAAGAUCAGCUUCAAUUUCAGUUACAACUUCACUGCCAUCGCUAUUUUACAAAUCAGAGGAUACCAGACCAUGCCUCACUCCACCAACCAAAUAGUUUAAUGAUUUAGAAAACUUGCGAUCAUUUGUAUCACUCAACUAGGACACAGUUUUGAAAGCAGCAGGAAACUCGAAGCUUCUGCUUUUAUAUUCAUCAGUCUUUAAAGCAUGCUAUCAAAAUCUAAUACUCACGUAGGACAUUCAGGAUUUCCAGGUACAUUACUAGCUAAAUGUGUCUUUCCAUUCUAUUGCAAUCUAAUAUACAAUGACUUCAUUAGUACAUGAUUUUCAACAUUUUUAUAUUCUUUUAAUAUGUUUAUACUGGAAGUGAGGGUAGAAUGCUUUGUAAAAGGAAAAUGGAGAUUUGCGUUUGAUUGUAGGUCUUUGCAGAUCCGCUGGUUCCUGAGUGAUUGCACAGUGCUGGCUGUCAGGAGACAGUCUCCUUGUGUAUUAGUAAUGACCAGCUUAGAUGACAGGAUGGCAUCUGCUGGAUGGCAAGUGGGAGGUGGGGAAAUCGGAUCUUGGAAGACAAGAAAAACAAAAUAAAACUUUUUGCGU